AUCCUGAGUCUCGGCCCUUUUCGCCAAAUCGCUGCUCUGCCGCGCGCCUACGCAAGGAAAGAUUCAAGGGUCCCUCCACUUCAGGGAGUGGAGCCCGCGCCUCGGCACGGAUCAGCUGUGCGUCUCCUUUGGCCUACUGGCUCCUCUGCUUGUGUCUAUAGCUAGCUGGACGCAUCGUGACUUUAUCUUCUCAUCUUUCCUGGCGCCCCCAGACGCAUUUCCUGGUCCCUCGAGGCAGCGGCGUCUGGGGAGUGCACUUUGCACAGACAGGGAAACCGAGGCACUCAGCGGUCUCCAAUGGAGACGCUGUAAUCGCAUUCCACGACCAGCUAGCGCUAUAAGCGCUGCCUCUAAAGCGGAAGGCCUCCCAGUCCUUCUCGACAGGAAGCAAUAUUUGCAUAUCUAAGGAGAACAAGAUUCGGCAAUGUGCUCCGGGAGCAAGUGCAGGCAUGGAACGGUAUGGGCUGGAGGGGGACAGACCUUCAGAGGCGGCUGCCCGUUCCCUGUAGUGUCACAUAAGAUUUUUAGAAGAUAGGAGUUUUCACAGUGGCGGCAGAGCCCUCUGCUAAAUCCUCAUAUUAGAUGUCAAAGGUGGCAUGUCAUUUGACCCAAUGGCUUUUUUAGUCAUUUAUCUUCCUAACACCUAUGAGAGUAGAGACAGGGUUUCACCAUGUUGGCCAGCCUGGUCUCAAACUCCUGAUCGCAAGUGAUCCGCCUACCUUGGCCUCCUAAAGUGCUGGGAUUACAGGCGUGAGCCACGUCUUUGUUCCAGCAAAACCAACCUAGUCCCUGAUUCACAAAUCAUCCUGGGAGUGUACAGCACUUACAGCCAGAAAGAAGUCUCUGGAGCAAAAAGCAUUGCAUAUUCAAUGGUCUAUGACAUCACCAUCGAAGACUCUGUCAAAAGGGGUUUUGUUUGAUUAAUUUUCAUUAUCUGUUGUUACCCAACUAAUGAAAGGUGAUACUAUUAAUGAGUGUGUGAACGAGACAGUGUCUUCGUUACCACCUCUGAAACACUCCCAGCUUUUUCAGGGACGAAUAGCCCUGACCCAAAGUGUGUCCUUUCUUCAUUGUAGGGAGAUACAAACUGUUUCUCUCCAAGUACUCCAACACCAAUUAUUGUGUGUCACAACCGAGAACACAAUAUGAGGCUUGUGCUUGAAUUACUGCUGUUUUAUGUGCCAAAAAAAAUGCUAGCUUUCUUUUUUCAGUGAAGUUGAUAGAGUUGGAAGACAUUUUAAUACCACAUUUAUUGGUUUGAAAGCAUGAUUGUUUUAGUAGCUGGUGCAAAUUUCAAGGAACACAUAACUCCCUUUAAGAAAUAUUGUUUCUAAGAAAUUACAUUUGACUAAAUUUGGAAGCUUUAAUGCAAAUAACUUUCAAACAAUGAAACCAUAUUCACAAGGAGAUGCUUUUAUUUUCUCCACUGAGGAAGAAAUGGAGACAUGUUUCCUAUUGUCGUUAUGUCCAUCUGGACAGAAAAGGAAGUCUGUGGGCUAGACAAGCAAAAAUAGGUUACAUCUGGGUAGCCCAGCAGUCUCUCCCUGACUGCUGAAGAAGCUCCUCUUUGUUUCAUUCCUGAAGCACGGCGUUGUUUUCUUGGACCCGUGCAUCAAGUUAAACCUGAGUUAGACUAUGGAUCCCUUGCACUUGAUUUUAUGAUUGUAAGACUUACACAAAUGCAAGCCUAGAACACAAUUGAACUCUUAUUUGCUUACAUCUCCAUGAACAGGAAAGAAGCCACUUGAUCUUCUAAAAGUUUUGCCCGGUUGCUUUCUCUUUUAUACCUAUUGUUAAGCUAUAAAAUGAAAUCACCAAAUUAUCAAUCUGCGAGUAUUUGCUACUUCGCAAUAUAUAUUUAAGAAUUUUACAAAACAAAACUGUGCCAUAAAAAGUAUUUCAUCCAUAUGAUCUUACAGUUCCACUUCUAAGAAUGCAUAUACCCAAAAGAAUUGAAAGCAAGAUCUCAAAGAUAUUUGUAUACCUGUGUUCGUAGCAGAUUAUCCACAAUAGCUAAAGGUGGAAGCAAGCCAAGCGUCUAUCAAUGUAUGAAUGGAUAAGUACAAUGUGGUAUACACAAACAAUGAAUUGUCAUUCAGCCUUAAAAAGGAAGGAUAUUCUGGGCUGGGCGCGGUGGCUCAAGUCUGUAAUCUCAGUACUAUGGGAGGCCGAUAGAGGUGGAUCACCUGAAGUCAGGAGUUCAAGACCAGUCUGACCAACAUGGUGAAACCCUGUCUCUACUAAAAAUCCCAAAAAAAAAAAAAAAAAAUAGCCAGGUGUGGUGGCAGGCACCUGUAAUCUCAGCUACUCAGGUGGCUGAGGCCAGGGAAUCGCUUGAACCUGGAAGGUGGAGGUUGCAGCAAGCCGAGAUUGCACCACUGCACUUCAGCCUGGGUGACAGAGUGAGACUUUGUCUCAAAAAAGAAGGAGAUUCUGACACAUGCUAUAACAUGGAUGAACCUUGAGGACAUUAUGGGCUACAGUUACCAAAAUGGCAUGGUACUGGUACAUAAACAGACACACAGACCAAUGGAACAGAAUAGAGAACCCAGAAAUAAGACUGCACACCUACAACUGUCUGAUCUGUGACAAACCUGAUGAAAACAAGCAAUGGGAAAAGGUUCCCUAUUCAACAAAUGGUGCUGGGAUAACUGGAUACUCAUAUACAAAAGACUGAAACUGGACUUUUUCCUUAACCAUAUACAAAAAUUAACUCAAAGUGGAUUAAGGACUUAAAUGUAAAACCCAAAACUGUAAAAGCCUGGAAGACAACCUAGGCAAUACCAUUCAGGACAUAGACACAGACAAAGAUUUCGUGACAAAAAUGCCAAAAGCAAUUGCAACAAAAGCAAAAAUUGACAAAUGGAACCUAAUUAAACUACAGAGCUUCUGCACAGCAAAAGAAAUUAUCAACAGAGUAAACAGAUAACCUACAGAAUGGGAGAAAUUUUUUGCAAACAGUGCAUCGACAAAGAUCUAAUAUCUAGCAUCUAUAAAGAACUUAAACAAAGUUGCAAGAAAAAAAAAUCACCCCAUUAAAAACUGGGCAAAGGACAGGACAUGAACAGACACUUUUCAAAAGAAGACAUACAUUUGGCCAACAAUUAUAUGAAAAAAGCUCAACGUCACUGAUCAUUAGAGAAACUCAAAUCAAACCACAAUGAGAUACUGUCUCAUACCAGUCAGAAUGGCUAAUAUGAAAACGUCCAAAAAUGACAGAUGCUGGUGAGGUUGUGGAGAAAGGGAACACUUUACACGGUUGGUGAGAGUGUAAAUUAGUUCAGCCAUUGUGGAAGACAGUGUGGUGAUUCUUCAAAGACCUAAAGACAGAAAUACCAUUCCAUUCAGCAAUCCCAUUACUGGGUAAUAUACCCAAAGGAAUAUAAAUCAUUCUGUCAUAAAGAUGCAUGUGUGUAUGUUUACUGCAGCACUAUUCACAAUAGCAAAGACAUGGAAUUAACCUAACAUCAAUGGUAGACUGGAUGAAGAAAAUGUGGUACAUAUACAUUGUGGAGUACUAUGCAGCCAUAAAAAAGAACAAGAUCAUUUACUUUGCAGGGGCUUCAAUGGAGCUGGAGGCCAUAUCCUUAGCAGCUAAUGCAGCAACAGAAAACCAAAUAUUGCAUGUUCUCACUUAUAAGUGAGAGUCAAAUGAUGAGAACACAUAUAGGGAAACAACACACACUGAGGCCUAUUUGAGGGUAGAGGGUGGAAGGAGGGAGAGGAUCAGGAAAAAUAACUAAUGGGUACUGGGCUUAAAUACCUGGGUGAUGAAAUAAUCUGUACAACAAACCCCCAUGACACGAGUUUACCUAUGUAACAAACCUGCACAUGUACCCUUGAACUUAAAAUAAAAAUUUAAAAAAAGAAAAUAGGUUGCUUGACUCUGCACCUUUCCUUCUCUGCUUCUCACUUCCCAACUGUUCUAAUUUCAUAUGGGAAUCCAUGCAGUUAUGGAGAAUCCACCUUCAGCAAUGGGAAUGAACCUAGCACCACAUGACCUGGGCUGGAUCAAUCAUCACAUACUAUCCCCUGACCCAGUGAUUGGUUCAGGGAUGGACAUGUGACCUAAGAGAGUGUGGUUAGAGUAAACCUCAGGACUUCUGCUGAUAACAUUGGCAAAAAGAUUUUUUUUUUAAAUGAAUGAGGGCAUGUAGCCUCACAGAACAGCUGGAAGCCAUUUUGCAACCACAGAGAUCUGCCAAAGUCUCCCUAAGAUGAAGAAACACUGAGAUAGCAGAGCCAGGAAAUGGUGAAGGGAAUGUUGGUCCCUGGUCAAGUUGUUUGAGCUAGCCCUGAAGUUUUUCAAAUCUCUGUGGGCUUUUCAAUUGCAUGAGCUAGUAAUUUCCCUUUAUUACUUAAGCCAAUGUGAACCAGCUUUUCUGUUACUUAGAACCAAAAACAUUCUGCUACAUCAUUGAUACACGUCAAACACCCCCUUCCUUUUACAGAAGAAAAGACUAAAUCUCAUGGAUGCUACGUGGCUAGUUAGGAGGAAUUGCCUUCCCAGUUCCAGGCCUUUCUCCUUUUACUACUCUAGCCACUUGUGAUGGGUUUGGUAACAAUGAGUAAAAUGUGCAUUCUCCUUAUUUCUAACCACGGAUUGGAUAUGUUCAGAAAUAUUAAAACUGAUUUUCCUCAAGUGUAUCUUCUGGCAAUUAAUGUCAUUGCUUUAUAGCCACUCUGUACUACGGGCCCUUGUGAUUCAUUAGAAAAAACAAAGGAUCAAAUAGUUAGAGAAGGUAUAAGGACCUUGUUUAAAAUUUUAUUUAAUUUGCAGCUAAUUUACCAGCAACUUAGGCUCAACCACGUAUGCUGCUUUGCUAGUUUCUUCAAAACUUGUCAUGCACUUUCAUUUCUUGGUAAUCAUCCCUCAUUACCAUUUCUUAUCUUUCAAAAACACAGCCUCACCACACUGUAUUCUUACCUUUGGUGCCUCCCUCUACAGCUAGAAUUUCCAGAUUCUGUGGGCUCUUCCUCUGUAAACUCUAAAAAUCCUUCCAUUUUUAUCUAUACAUACUAUUUCCCCCACUCUAACAGAUCUUACCUAUCACCAACCCUAAAAUUACCUAACAAAAUGCUCAUCACAUCUUCAAGGAAAUGUCCCACAGUGAGAGAAAAGAGAAAGGAACCUGUGUUUAUUGUGCUAGGAAGAUACUAGAUACUUUACAGACAUUAACUCAUUUAAUUUUCAUGACCACACCAUGGUAAGUAGGUAGUAGUAUCUCAGUCUAAAAAUAAGGAAACUGAGGUUGGGUGAGUCAUAGGGUUGAAUUCCAAACCUAGGUGUGUGCAGUUCUAAAGAUACUUUCUUCCACUGCUUCUGUUGGACAAUAGAUUUUGCCCCUUUUGUACCAGCUCCAAAGGAUAGUGACCGCCUGGAUCUCGUGUUGAGAAGACUGAAGCCUCAUCCAGGUUGACAGGGAAAGACAAAAGGAUGUCUUGCCAAAGCUUGCCAAGGGGGAAAGUGGCAAUCCACACACCACUUAUUUCACAUUUCUUCAGGCCUGUGCCUGGGGCAGU
rnacentral:lncRNA from 1 species